CCCUUAGAUGUUCUGGGCUGCACACGUGCUACACUGGCAGGUUCAGCGGGCUUCAUGCCCUGAUCUGAAAGGAAUGGGAAAUCUUUUCAAAACCUGCCGUGCUUGGGAUAGAUGUUUGCAAUUAUUCAUCUUCAACGAGGAUUGCCUUGUAAGCGCACGUCAUCAGCGUGCAUUGAAUACGACCCUGUAUUCUGUACACACCGCCCGUCGCUCCUACCGACUGAAGUUUUCGGUGAGUUGACAGGAGGAUUUUUUUGAAACUGGUUCGCCAGUGGAUUUUAGAUCCAAAUGCCAACGAAUCGAUGGCUUUAGAGGAAGGAGAAGUCGUAACA
rnacentral:rRNA from 1 species